rnacentral:rRNA from 1 species
UAAAAGUCGUAACAAGGUCUCCGUUGGUGAACCAGCGGAGGGAUCAUUACCGAGUUUACAACUCCCAAACCCCUGUGAACAUACCACUUGUUGCCUCGGCGGAUCAGCCCGCUCCCGGUAAAACGGGACGGCCCGCCAGAGGACCCCUAAACUCUGUUUCUAUAUGUAACUUCUGAGUAAAACCAUAAAUAAAUCAAAACUUUCAACAACGGAUCUCUUGGUUCUGGCAUCGAUGAAGAACGCAGCAAAAUGCGAUAAGUAAUGUGAAUUGCAGAAUUCAGUGAAUCAUCGAAUCUUUGAACGCACAUUGCGCCCGCCAGUAUUCUGGCGGGCAUGCCUGUUCGAGCGUCAUUUCAACCCUCAAGCACAGCUUGGUGUUGGGACUCGCGUUAAUUCGCGUUCCUCAAAUUGAUUGGCGGUCACGUCGAGCUUCCAUAGCGUAGUAGUAAAACCCUCGUUACUGGUAAUCGUCGCGGCCACGCCGUUAAACCCCAACUUCUGAAUGUUGACCUCGGAUCAGGUAGGAAUACCCGCUGAACUUAA